rnacentral:rRNA from 1 species
AACGAACGCUGGCGGCGUGCCUAAUACAUGCAAGUCGAACGAGAGGAUGGGGUAACCCAUUAGUAAAGUGGCAGACGGGUGAGUAAUACAUAAGUAACUUACCUUUUAGUUGGGGAUAACCUUCCGAAAGGAGGGCUAAUACCGAAUAAGACCACAAGAACUACGGUUCUAGGGGUUAAAGGUGGCUUCGGCUAUCGCUAAAAGAUGGGCUUAUGCACCAUCAGGUAGUUGGUAAGGUAACGGCUUACCAAGCCUAUGACGGUUAACUGAUCUGAGAGGUUGAUCAGUCACACUGGAACUGAGACACGGUCCAGACUCCUACGGGAGGCAGCAGUAGGGAAUAUUGCGCAAUGGAGGAAACUCUGACGCAGCGACGCCGCGUGGGUGAUGAAGGCUUUCGGGUCGUAAAGCCCUGUCGGAGGAGAAGAAAACGGUAUGGCUAAUAUCCAUACCGCUUGACGGUAUCCUUAAAGGAAGCACCGGCUAACUACGUG